ensembl:lncRNA
AUGCUUUGUGCUCUGAUUUUCACUAAAUGCAAUAAGGAUUUUAUUCAACAAUUUUCUGAUUUUCUCUCUGAUCUGGUGACUCGGGCUGAUAGACUAUUGAUUCUUGGGGAUUUUAACAUUCAUCUCUGCUGCCCUUCUAGAACGUUGGUCAAAGAAUUUGUAAAUAUUUUAGAGUCUUUGAACUUUGUACAAUCUGUAUGUGGUCCAACUCACAAUUUGGGUCACACACUAGAUUUGGUAAUGUCUCGUGGGGUUUUUAUUUCAAAUCUGGAGGUUAUUGAUGCAUGUGUGUCUGACCAUUAUCUUAUUACGUUUGAAUCGGAGUGCUUUCUCCCGUCUUCUAUUUGCCCUCAGCCUUCAUGUCUCUCUCGAGCUAUUCACUCAAAUACUGCAAAUUUGUUUUCUGAACAUUUUUCUUCACAUUUUAAUAAUGAUUUUCUGAACGAAUCAGAUACUGAAUGCUUGACUGAGAUAUUUUAUAAAGCAUCCUCUUUAUCUAUGGACACUGUUGCUCCGCUUAAGCGUAAAAAGAUGAAGGUUGCUGGCCAGCCAUGGUUAAAUGAUGUCACCCGAGCUUUCAGACAAGAGUGUCGAAAAGCAGAGCGAAAGUGGAAAAAAGAUAGGCUACAGGUUUCAUUUGACAUUUUAAAAUCAAGUCUUUUCAACUAUCAAACGGCAGUAAAAAAGGCAAAAUCAAACUUCUUUUCUCAAUUAAUUUCUGACAACGCUAAGCGUCCAAAAGUCCUGUUUGAUACAAUUGACUCUAUUCUAAAUCCGACCACAAAUAUUUUAUCUGAGGCCUCUAUUGAGCUUUGUGAAGAUUUUUUAAAACAUUUCACUCAAAAAAUUUAUGAUAUUAGAAGCUCUAUUGUUCCAUCCGAACCAUGCCACUUGCAAUUGCCUUGUCCUAUGAGUUGUCUGUCUAACUUUAAACCUGUCUCUCCUACUCAGCUAGCUGAUAUAAUCUCUACUAUGAAGUGUUCUGGUUCUAAGCUAGAUAUUAUCCCAACUCGUCUUUUUAAGGAUGUUUUUUCUACCAUUAGUCAUAUGGUAACUGCUAUCAUAAACAGUUCUUUAGCCAAAGGUGUCGUUCCAGCUAGUUUUAAACAUGCAAUUAUACAACCUAUGUUGAAAAAACCUCAACUUGAUCCAGAAAUGUGCAGUAACUAUCGACCGAUCUCUAAACUGCCUUUCAUCUCUAAGCUUUGA